AUAUCACUUAUAUGUGGAAUUUAAAAUACAACACAAAUGAACUUAUGAAACAGAAACAAACUCACAGACAUAGAGAACAGUUGCCAUGGGGGAGGAGCCAGGGGAGGGAUGGAUUGGUAGUUGGUAUUAGCAGGUACAAAGUAGUAUAUGCAGGAUGGAUAAACAACAAUGUCCUACUCUAUAGCACAGGGAAUUAUAUUCAAUAUCCAGUGAUAAAUCAUAAUGGAAAAUAAUUAUGAAAAAUAAUGUAUAUAUUUAUAACAAUGAUUUUGCUAUACAGCAGAAAUUAACAUUGUAAAUCAACCAUAUUUCAAUAAAAGUUUUUUAAAAAAGAGGUGACUUCCAGUUUUGAGUAACUAUUAUUUCUUCAUCCUCUGUAUCCAAAAAGUAACCAAAAUGAGGUCGCAAUGGGAAUAUCUGUGGAAUUCCCCCUCUGCUCCUUUAAUCUCUGACUGAAUGGCACCUAACAGUGCCCAGACACACACCACUGCUCCCUGUACUACAUAUAGCUUUGGCUGUAUGUACAGAGGUAUAACUCUGGAGAGACUCAAGUACAGAGAAGCUAAAUGAUUACUGUUCUAGACACCACAGAAGAUUACAGAUGACACUUCCAUAAAAAUGAAGGCAUUUUUCCAAGAGCACUGUCCAAGUAGGUGGACAUUAUUUAAACAUUCAUUAUAUCCUAUGCAAAACCACCAAUGUCUUCUUAUUUCAAAGCAUCCCCAUUAAAAGGGAAUUAGACUACCUAGGAAAGAGGGCUGUGUGUAUUUAACUUGAAAACAAGAUUUGACAAGGUGACCAUCUGCUUUCCCUUUCCCCACUUAACUACAAAAGGAAUGGUACUUGAAGCCAACCAAAAUAACCCAAGGAGGAACUGAUACUAUGACACACUCAUUUUCUUCGCAAAGUGCAAAAAAACAGCCACACUGAAGAGCAGCACAGUUAGUGCCCCAGAGACUGAUCUUCCACUAUAACCACUUGGCUUAAAGCCAGUCACCCUGAAGAUAGUGACAUUACUCAAGCCAUUGGUAAAGGCUUCCUCUGGGAGGGACGAAUGCUCAUUGAGUGACACCACAUUCUACCAGCUUGCGUGGAAUCAUCUUCACCCAAAGUCAGAGCUUCUUCCUGCAGAGUUUUUUUGGCAUGUAUUUGUCAUUAAAUAAAAAAUGCUUGAAUGCAAAUGUGAAGAAAAAGCUCCUUGUAUGGAAAACACAGCAGACUGAAUGUCCGAAGAUCUAGCUCCAGGAUCAAUGCACAUAAUUCAACUGAAGUGAUAACGAUAAAGUCAAGACAAGUUUGCUCAUGCUGAAGCAAUGAAAACAGUAUCAAAACUGACACCUGAGAAAAUACAUAAAGCCUUUGAUGUCUGAUGAAGCAAGCUGCCAUGUUGUGAAAUGUUCUACAGAGACGUCCACAUGGGAGGCAACAGGGGGAAGCCUCCACCAAGAGUUCUCCUGAGUAACCAACAACCACUUGAGUGAGCUUAAAAGUGGACCCCGCAGGGUAACACAGAAGGUGAGAAGACUUGAGAGGAAGGAGUUGGAAGGGUGUCACAGGAUGCCAACAGGCUGAAGGAGGAGUUAUAAAUGGCCUGCUGAAAUAGAGAUGAAUUCGCAUGUCUAGUGGAAGCUGAAAGAGGAAGAGUUCAGCAGAGCACCUCAAAGAGCCCGGAAAAGCAGCCAUGGGGAAAAGGUAACCAUGAGUGAAGAUAUGAUAUGCAAUUUGGAAUUUGCUGCACAGAUGUAUUCAAAAUGCAUGGGCUACUGAAACCCCUUUUAAAAGUGAUCUGAGAAGGGAUGCAGGCUGAUUCCUUUGCUUUGGAAGGAAAUGAAGUGUUUCAUAGAACCAUAGGCCUAAGGUCAGAGACUGAUAAAAGAUCUGAAAACUACAGGUGUCCUCUAUAAACACGGUCACCCAGGCCACCUGUUCCGUGGCAUGGAAGGGUCUAUUAUCAGUGAUGCCUCCCUGCAGGGCUCUCCUUGGCCCUGUCAGGUUCAUCGCCAUUGUCCGAAAUAAGCACGUUAAUCGUUUAGUGAGUACAUAGUUCAGACCCAAUCAUUUGAGGAAAAUUCUCUGGAAAUCGCCACCUUCAAGUCAACAACUGCAACAUUUAAACGAUUCCUAGUAAUAUAAGGACAUGAAGACAGCUCCGCCUCCCUUUGCCUCAGUUUAUUCCCUUCUGCAGCUGGGAGAAAAAUGGUACCCACCUCAGAGCAGUGCUGUGAGGAGGUAAUGAGUUAAGACCAGCAGAGCGCUUAGAAAACAAUACAUAGCAUAUAAUAAGGACUCAGAAGCGUGCACACAGGAUGAAUGAAUAAAAGGUCAGCCAUCAAUCUCUCUGCAGCAGCCUUAGAUGCAGAAUUAAUACCCAGUGCACUGCAGGAUGCCUGGCCUGAACACCACCUGGUGGUGAGGGCGGAGCAGAAUCUGAUUCCCCCCUCAUUGAGGCUAACCAGCACACGCGAGAGAAAUUGGAAGCCCUUCUAAAGAGAAAAGAAAGGCCUUCAGUAACAGCUUCAGUCUCACCUCAUAUCCAAAGCCACCUCUCUGAGCCGUUGCAGUCUCAACGACAGUUGAGAAGCAGUUACGAAGCUUAUCAAAGGAUCACUGCCCUGUCAAUCUAGUUCCCGGCUUACCCUCAUUUUAGGUGUGCGCAUGCUCCGUGGCCUCCAAACGCAAUCACGGGAGAGACACCGGAAGUGCCGAGAAGCCUUGCGAGGAUUCACUCACGCUUUCCCUCGUUGCUCCAGGACAGAAUUAGAUGUGUUGGAUUUUGUUAUACCCUUUCGCUUGAAGGGACCACACAUCAUAAGCCUGCUCCAGGAGAGCAAACCUGAUAGUCAGCAUGUUCAGCCUGGGGAUAGGAUACUUUGAUUUCUUCAGGACUUCUUCCCAGAAUCUGGAGAUGAAGAUGUGACCACUGGACUCCGCGGUGGACGCUACACUGGAAAGGAGAAGAGGACCAAGCUCUGGGAGCUUCCACCACGCAGCCAACUCCCCCAGCUCUUCUGGCAGUUAACGCAUUUGAACUUCAUGACAGCCAAUCAUUAGAGAAACUUAGAGUUUGAUGCUAACUUCUAUUUCUGCAUUCUUAAGUUUGGCUUUUAGCUAUUAUGCAGAACACGCGUGGUAAAUCUUUUUAAAAACUAUACAGAGACUAAGUCUGAGGGGGAGGCACCUGGGGAAGGGGUUUGUGUUGGUGCCUGCUGACUCAUGGUGGGGGAGACAUGUGUUUGUCCAUUUUACAGACGAAGGAACUGAAUCUCAGAGAGGCUAAAUGACAUCAGUAGAUCACCCAGACACUACGCUUGCAAGCCAGGGGGAUUAAAAAUACUAUCUGACUUUAAAGUUAAAAGCUCUCCCCAGUCCACUCCACUGACUUCCACCCCAAGGGCAUCUGUGGUUCAUGCAGGAACUAAACAAAAGCAAGAACAGAAAGUGAUUACUGGAGCUCCAAUGCAGGGGUUGGUCAAACAGAAGAACGAAGGCCGGAAGCACCUGGCCUGUGGUUAGGUGGUGUUCUGCUGCUCAUUUCUGAAGCAGAGAGAAGAAUUGCUUGAAUUUUUCUUGUGUCUUUUUUGCCCAGUGUGAAGAUCGAUGGAGGCAGGAGAUAGGCUAGCUACACAGUGGCAAGAGGAAAAAGCAAAGCAAGACUUUAGAAGUGAACCUGGGGGUGUUCUCUGUGCUUCUUCCUUCCAAUUGGAGGACACUGUAGUUCAGCAACAAACAAGGGGAACUCGGAAACUAGGCAAGCAAAAACCCCAAAGCAGAGUCCACAAGAGUCCUGGAGAAGUCUCAGACGACUCUGGCCAGGUCAGAGAUGGGAGUGUAAACCCCCAAAUCAGGCAGCCUUGGAUGAGGAGCCCUGGCAAGGGAGCCUCUUGCUUCCCAGAGGUAGAGAGUGAGGAGAAUGAGCUGGAAAACAGAUAAUCUGAGCAGAAAAGAGCUUACAGUUAUGAGUUGUUUGUAUAUUCAUAUAUUACCUUCAUCUAUGUAUGAUUUUCCUCUGCUAAUUGAAUUUCUUUCUGUAAACUUGCAUUUUUUUUUUUUUUUUUUUUUUGGCUGUGUCUGGGGCCAGGGAUCAAACAUGUGCUAUAGCAGCAGUGACCUGAGCUAUAGCAGUGACAACACCAGAUCCUUAACCUACUAAGGCAUCAGGGAAGUCCUAUAAACUUGGAUUUAGAGUGCUGAUAAAAAAAAUUUUCUAAUCCCUGCCUAUCUGGAAAUGGAAGAAAAGAUAAUACACCUGAACUUGAGGCUGGAUAGUGGUUCUCAAUGGUUCACCUGCCCUGGCAUGAUCCAGUAGAGAUGGUACUCAAUACUCUUUGCAAAUGUUGGGGUUUUUUGCCUAGCAUGGGGUCCUGGACAUGUGCCAAGGCCUUUCUCCCCAUGAAGUGGCAGCCUGAGCUGCAGAGGAGACUAAGGCUGCAAAGCUGAUGAGUUAUUUGACUGCUCACAAAAAGUAGAAUGCUACAUAGAUUCAUGGAAUAGACUCAAAAAGUUAUGAAAUGUGCCACAUUCAAAUUCAGAAAAUUUUCUUCCUAAAGAAAAGGGAAUAAGUCAUUAAAGCAGUUUUUUGUUUUUUGUUUGUUUGUAUUGUUUUGUUUUAAAAGAACUCAUAACAAAAAGCCCAGAUGAGAGGCUGGUUUCUUCUUGUAGAUGCUUUUUCUAUUUCUCUGUGUUAUUAGAGGUUAAAGCUGUUAGGUAUGAAAUCUGGCCUACUUCACAAGCUGGAGGUCUUGCCUUAAGGGAUCAUAAUUAUUUUAUUUUAGUUCCAACCUUCUGUGGUAUCAUAGCUACAGUGUAAAAAGGGAAAAUGUCUAGACUUGAGAUUUUUUUUGAUGACAUUAAAAAUAUACAAGGUAUAACCUAUAAAGUACACAAGGUAUGAACUCUAAAAUGUGAGGGGAAAAAGACAUGUCAAAACUAUGGUAAAAUGUAGGGGGGAAAAAAACGAGAAAGUCUUGAUCUUGUGCAGACUGGAAUACCAUUUUCAUUCCUUUACCAUUUCUUCAGAAAGUGUUUUGUUUUGUUUUGUUUUGUUUACUGUUCUUUCAGGUUAUUCAUACAGUCUGUUAAUGUCAAAGCAGUUAAUGUCAAAGCAGGGAAAAACAAUGUUAUAUUGAUAACAUUUCAUCUAUUCAGACCUAUGAUGAGUCUUUGAGCCCAUGGGUCCCACUUUAUGUAACAGAUAUAUUAGGUGAAAAUUUGAAGAAAUUUGGGCACAAUAUUAUAAAUGGGUAAGGAAAUAUCACUAUUUAAAGUAUUUAGUUAUUCAAUGAAUGAUUAGGUGUUUAGUAAAUUAUUUUUUAAAGAGAUCUUUUUUUUUUUUAAGGUCCGUACCCGCAACAUAUGCAAAUUCCCAGGCUAGGGGUCAAGUCAGAGCUAUAGCUUCAGCAACACCCAGAUCUGAGCCACGUCUACAACCUACACUACAGCUCAUGGCAACGUUGGAUCCCUGACCCACUGAGCAAGGCCAGGUAUCAAACCCACAUCCUCAUGGAUAUUAGUUGGGUUCUUAACCCACUGAGCCACAACAGGAAUUCCUAAAGAGAUCAAUCUUAUUGUAGAGGUGUUAUCACUUUAGAUAUAUAUGAAUUUUCACACGCUGAGAUUUCCUACAGUGGGCAGGACUGUGUUUUUCAUCUUAUUCUGAUUGGGUUUUUUUUUAAGAGCCUCAUACAAUUUUCACUGCUAGUAUAAAACAUAAGUACAUAAGGCCUGAUCCUAUAAGUGAGAAGAGGGUAAACCGAGGGUAAACCAGAGAAUAGUGGGGUUAACUCACCCCUGAUUUAAAUUUUAGCCUAAUAGAAUGAAGUCAGUGUAGCUGCUGACUCAGAAGAGAGAGGGACCACUUGCUCCCCUUUGGGAGGAAAGGCUGAAGUUCCUUAAUGUCACACAGAGACACCAAGAUCCACCUGCAGACCAGCCUAUGCAUUAUUUAGAAUAUAGGUUCAGUUGUGAAUAACAAGGAUACAAAAUAAUAGACGUUGCAAGAAAACAUACUUCUCACACAUAAAAGACACAUUAAGACUAUAUGGAGGCUCUUCAUUUAUCUGGGAAUCAGGAUGCUUCUAAACUUUCUCUGCUCCAUCACUGGGAAGUAGCUGCCGUCCUCAUUGUCCAGCAUAGAAGACCAGCAAUCAUUCCACUUUCCCAAUAGUGUUAAAAAAGAAAAACUGUGGGAGUUCCCACUGUGCCACAUUGGGCUAAGGAUCCAACUGCAGCAGCUCAGGUCACUGUAAAGGCAUGCGUGGGUCAAUCCCUGGCCCCUUGCAGUGUGUUAAAAGACCCAGCAUUGCCUCAACUGUGGCUUGGAUUCAAUCCUUGGCCACGGAAUUUCCAUAUACUGUGAGUGUGGAUAUUUUAAAAAAACAGGAGGGGAGGGAGGAGGAGGUAGAUUGUGGAAGGAACUUCAAGUUGUUUUCUAAUUAUCUAGUCUCCCUUGCCAAGUAAUGGAAGCCACUUGGGCACCUGGAAUAAAAAUUCCUUUCCCAGUCACCAUUGCAGCUAGAACCUCUCAUAAUGGGAAGUGAGAGAAGAGAAAUAUGUGGCUUUCUGGCUAUGUCAUUAAAGGCAGGGGUGAUAUACCACCUCUUACUCCCUUUCCUUCAUCUUGGGCAGCAAAGUCAAAGGCCAGUGGGACACAUAAUGGAGCCAUUACACCAGCCUUGCACUGUCUAUUAAGACUUUUCUACAUGAUCUUUCCAGCCCAGGUCAUUUAGGUCUGUUAAAUUCUGCUAAAACUAAGGUCUUCCUAAGACACCAACUUAAGGGAAGUUUCAUGAAGUGAAAAAGGUCCCUAUUUUCAUUUAUUAGGGUCCAAGAGUUAGCCCCAAAGUCUCACCUUUGCCCUUUCAUUUGCACAUUGAAUAAGCCUAUAUGGAGUAUCUGCAGUGUUCCAGAUGGUGUUCCAGGCCUUUGAGGCAAUGCAACAUGAAUGUGCCUUGAUUCUUCCCUCAAGGAGCUUACUAUCAAAUAGAGGAAGAAUUAAGGGCACAAAUAUGACUGUAUGCUGGUCGUAUGACAGGCACUGCUGUAGCUGUUUUCACCUCUUUUAUCAUUUGCAUCUCACAAAAUUUCUAUGGAAUCUCAUUUUAUGGAUGUAGUCAUCACAGCUCUGAAGGGUGAUAGAGUUUACUCAGGGAAAUACCUAUAACAAGUAAUGGAAUCAACAUUUAAGUUUCAAUUUCUGACUCAUAAGCCAACCAGUGACCAAGCUGCUUCUUGGACAUACAUUCAAAAAGCAAGGCUACAAGGCUCCAUGUGACAAGACUAAGGACUUCAAAUGCUUCAGCUGAUGUGGCACUAACUCUUCUUGAGAGGUCACCCAGCCAUUUUAGUUUUCUCAAUGUCAUAUGUGUCCUGGACCAAGAACAAAUUCAUUCUUCCCCCUCUAUAAGGAAGAGUAAACCAACCUAAGGUCACCAAACCUAGAUCAUAGGCACAAAAAUGUCACUUUCUAGGUCCCAUCACUAUGACUACAAUCUGCAUUUUAUCUUCUUUUCUCAUUGACUUUCCCUGCCACCCCUCAAAAAAAUUCACUGGAAAAUUCCCUUCUUGACCAUCAUUUUUGUCUGCUCAUCCACUUUGGACUCCAGCCCUUUUCCCUCUGGACAUUUCUCUAUAUAUAUUCCACAUGUAUAAAAUAGCUUUGGAGCCUGUAUCCUUCUUCAUCCAAUAGGCUAUUAUUCCCAUUGACCCUAAAGCAUAUAAAUCAUCCUGUACAGACAUUUAUAGAAUUGUUGUGUCAUCUCUUCAAUCAUAUCACACCUUCUGCUAAAAGUAGCCAGCUCUUACAUCAUUUUCAGAGGUAAUUCAAUGUUCAAAAUCCCAAACAACCAGAAAGUCUAAGUGGGAUGAAAUUUUUUAAAUCAGUUGAAGCCUAUAUAUGUCCCCAAAUUAUAAUGCCAGCUCGGUAUGAUCACCCAACACAUGGGCAAAUCCUGGCUUACCUAACCAUUUUAAGGGCAGUAAGAACAAAUGACAAGCCUUUCUUAUAUACCAGGGGCACUUGUACCAGAUAAUUAUCUAAACUCAGCCCAGCAGAGUUCUUUGCCAGCAGUAGCUAUGAAAAAAGGGGCUGUGAUCCCUUCUAUUAUUUAUGGUAAAAUAAUCCAACUGAUGAAACUAACAGCCCCCAGAUGUCACUGCCUUCACAAAACAAAGACAUUUCUUGCUUAGGUCAUCUUCUAAUUAGGUUUUCAGUGGUCAGCCUUCAUGAGGUGAUUUGGGCAUACAGGCUCCUAACACCUGGUUGGCUUCUCAGAGUGGAUCCCCUGCAUUUGUUCCAAAGCAAGGGAAGUGGCAAUGUUUGGACAUUGUGCUGCUAUUUUAUGGUCAGUUAUCUUUAUCACAUCAUGUGCCCUUGUCCAAUUUCCAGAACCCAGACCCUAUAACCCAAACCUAUCUGCAAGGAAGGUUGGGAAAUGUAGUUUUCCAGUGUGCUCUGAACAAGAAUGGGACUGGAAAACAAAGGGCCAGCCUCUGCCCCACCCCUGGGAACAAGACUUUGAAGACUGGAUGUUCCCAGGUCGGAUGGUUGGCACAUAUUUUCUUACUCCCCUGAUUGCCUGGAUGCAAAUAUGCUCAACACAUAUGAGGCCCCGGCACUCUGACAUAAAUAGAGGGGCAUAUCUUGGCCAUGAAUUUGCAACUGCUGGUUGCUGUGUUUUCAAAUAAACUUGGGUUUCUAUUGUUAUCCCUACCAGCCAUCCCUUAUCCACCCCACUGUUGGUGGGAAUGUAAAUUGGUGCAAUCACUAUGGAAAAGAAUAUACAGGUUCCUCAGAAAACUAAAAAUAGAAUUACUAUAUGAUCUAGAAAUCCUACUCCCAGGAAUAUAUGGGGACAACUGUAAUUCAAAAAGAUACAUGCACCCCUACAUUCACUAAAGCUCUAUUCAGAAUAUCCAAGACAUGGAAACAACCUAAACAUCCAUCAACAUAUGAAUGGCUUAAGAGGUUGUGGUACAUAUAUACAGUGGAAUACUACUCAGC